CCUACGGGAGGCAGCAGUGGGGAAUCUUGCGCAAUGGGCGAAAGCCUGACGCAGCCACGCCGCGUGAAUGAUGAAGGUCUUAGGAUUGUAAAAUUCUUUCACCGGGGACGAUAAUGACGGUACCCGGAGAAGAAGCCCCGGCUAACUUCGUGCCAGCAGCCGCGGUAAUACGAAGGGGGCUAGCGUUGCUCGGAAUUACUGGGCGUAAAGGGAGCGUAGGCGGAUAGUUUAGUCAGAGGUGAAAGCCCAGGGCUCAACCUUGGAAUUGCCUUUGAUACUGGCUAUCUUGAGUAUGGGAGAGGUUAGCGGAACUCCGAGUGUAGAGGUGAAAUUCGUAGAUAUUCGGAAGAACACCAGUGGCGAAGGCGGCUAACUGGCCCAUUACUGACGCUGAGGCUCGAAAGCGUGGGGAGCAAACAGGAUUAGAUACCCUGGUAGUCCACGCCGUAAACGAUGAGUGCUAGUUGUCGGCAUGCAUGCAUGUCGGUGACGCAGCUAACGCAUUAAGCACUCCGCCUGGGGAGUACGGUCGCAAGAUUAAAACUCAAAGGAAUUGACGGCUGAGACGNGCGAGACGACGACGAGGAGAG
rnacentral:rRNA from 1 species